UUCCUAGUACAGAAAUACCCGUUCACGUACUGCUUAGCAUAACAGCAGUGACGUACUCAUGAAGCACUCGCUGCAGCUGUCCUAAGCAAUAGCAACAGAAAUAGAUGAAAAACUCAGCUUUUUGACAACCAUGCUGGAGGUGAUGUUACGGACAGUGCACCAGACAUCCUGAGGUCUCAAGGUCAAUGGAAAAAGGACAUAAGCAGCUCUUCUAAAGAAACACAGCAGACUAUGAUUCAAGAGAGAGAAUUCUGAAGACAGCGAGUUGAAGUGAUUGCCCGUGUUCUCGGACAUAAAUGGAAAAUUAAUACAAAAAUUUAAAGCUACUGUGCUGCAGGCUGGUGCCUACCACCCAACUUCAAGAGACCCAAACUUUCCAAUUCCACAUCUAGGUUUCAGGUCCAGCACCCUCCCUUCUAUCCAACAAGGCCUGGUACCAAGUACAGCUAGCCUAUUUCCAAGCCAUCAAAGGAUCGGACUCUGGGAAGAUUCUGAUCUCUGGGUACGUGACAGUUACAAAUGAUCUGUGCAGGCCCUAUGACAGGCUGCUCACUUGGUAACUGAUGAGCUGGUGUCCCGGAGAGCAGAGCCCAUGUAUUUAGCAAAUGACAGAACUGCUAUGUUGAUCGAAUCUAUGUGGAUGGUAAAGAAAAGCAAAUACAGGCUUUACACUAAAUGCCCAUGAUGGAUAGAUUCAUCUUGCUGUGUGCUACUCUGAUCCCAAUGUAUUCAUUCAAACUACACAUGUAAUUCAAAAUUUUCCUUGAAUUUAUUCUUGUUUACAGGAACUCUGAAGCACUGUGCUUCCAAGUGUUUGCAAAUGACAAAGUACUAUACUCUGCUCCAGGGAAGGAUUUGAGUCCAUAUCCUGAAUUAAGUCUGUAGCACACUCUUGCUAGCUGCAAUAAAUAAAAGGUAGGCUUUGA